AUGGUACUCCCUCCGUCCCAAAAUUCUUGUCCUAUGUUUGUCUAGAAAUAGAUGUAUCUAAAUACUAAAACGUGACNNGAUACAUUCAUAUCUAGACAAAUCUAAGAUAAGAAUUUUGAAACGGACGGAGUAUGUA
rfam:Hordeum vulgare subsp. vulgare, WGS project CAJW01000000 data, contig: morex_contig_140767